rnacentral:tRNA from 1 species
CGCCAGAUAGCUCAUUUGGUAGAGCACCUGACUAGAGAUCCAGGGCUCGGGUUUGAAUCCCGGUCUGGUCU